rnacentral:rRNA from 1 species
GAUGAACGCUGGCGGCGUGCCUAAUACAUGCAAGUCGAGCGAACAGACGAGGAGCUUGCUCCUCUGACGUUAGCGGCGGACGGGUGAGUAACACGUGGAUAACCUACCUAUAAGACUGGGAUAACUUCGGGAAACCGGAGCUAAUAUCGGAUAAUAUAUUGAACCGCAUGGUUCAAUAGUGAAAGACGGUUUUGCUGUCACUUAUAGAUGGAUCCGCGCCGCAUUAGCUAGUUGGUAAGGUAACGGCUUACCAAGGCAACGAUGCGUAGCCGACCUGAGAGGGGGAUCGGCCACACUGGAACUGAGACACGGUCCAGACUCCUACGGGAGGCAGCAGUAGGGAAUCUUCCGCAAUGGGCGAAAGCCUGACGGAGCAACGCCGCGUGAGUGAUGAAGGUCUUCGGAUCGUAAAACUCUGUUAUUAGGGAAGAACAAAUGUGUAAGUAACUAUGCACGUCUUGACGGUACCUAAUCAGAAAGCCACGGCUAACUACGUG